rnacentral:rRNA from 1 species
GAUGAACGCUGGCGGCGUGCCUAAUACAUGCAAGUCGAGCGAACAGACGAGGGGCUUGCUCCUCUGACGUUAGCGGCGGACGGGUGAGUAACACGUGGAUAACCUACCUAUAAGACUGGGAUAACUUCGGGAAACCGGAGCUAAUACCGGAUAAUAUAUUGAACCGCAUGGUUCAAUAGUGAAAGACGGUUUUGCUGUCACUUAUAGAUGGAUCCGCGCCGCAUUAGCUAGUUGGUAAGGUAACGGCUUACCAAGGCGACGAUGCGUAGCCGACCUGAGAGGGGGAUCGGCCACACUGGAACUGAGACACGGUCCAGACUCCUACGGGAGGCAGCAGUAGGGAAUCUUCCGCAAUGGGCGAAAGCCUGACGGAGCAACGCCGCGUGAGUGAUGAAGGUCUUCGGAUCGUAAAACUCUGUUAUUAGGGAAGAACAAAUGUGUAAGUAACUAUGCACGUCUUGACGGUACCUAAUCAGAAAGCCACGGCUAACUACGUG